UACGAAGGGGGCUAGCGUUGCUCGGAAUUACUGGGCGUAAAGGGCGCGUAGGCGGAUAGUUUAGUCAGAGGUAAAAGCCCAGGGCUCAACCUUGGAACUGCCUUUGAUACUGGCUAUCUUGAGUUCGGGGGAGGUGAGUGGAAUGCCGAGUGUAGAGGUGAAAUUCGUAGAUAUUCGGCGGAACACCAGUGGCGAAGGCGACUCACUGGCCCGAUACUGACGCUGAGGCGCGAAAGCGUGGGGAGCAAACAGG
rnacentral:rRNA from 1 species